rnacentral:misc_RNA from 1 species
GAUGAAGAACGCAGCGAAAUGCGAUAAGUAGUGUGAAUUGCAGAAUUCAGUGAAUCAUCGAAUCUUUGAACGCACAUUGCGCCCCCUGGUAUUCCGGGGGGCAUGCCUGUCCGAGCGUCAUUACAACCCUCAAGCUCAGCUUGGUAUUGGGCCCCGCCGACCCGGCGGGCCCUAAAGUCAGUGGCGGUGCCGUCCGGCUCCGAGCGUAGUAAUUCUUCUCGGUCUGGAGGUCCGGUCGUGUGCUCGCCAGCAACCCCCAAUUUUUUUCAGGUUGACCUCGGAUCAGGUAGGGAUACCCGCUGAACUUAAGCAUAUCAAUAAGCGGAGGA